rnacentral:rRNA from 1 species
UACGGAGGGCGCAAGCGUAGUUCGGAUUUACUGGGCAUAAAGAGCACGUAGGCGGCUCGCUCAGUCGGGUGUGAAAGCCCACGGCCCAACCGUGGAACUGCACCCGAUACUGGCGAGCUCGAGGACGGAAGGGGUGAGUGGAACUCCAGGUGGAACGGUGAAAUGUAUAGAUAUCUGGAGGAACACCGGUGGCGAAAGCGGCUCACUGGUCCGUCUCUGACGCUGAGGUGCGAAAGCUAGGGUAGCGAACGGG